rnacentral:rRNA from 1 species
GGACUUAGUGAUCCGGUGGUUCUGCGUGGAAGGGCCAUCGCUCAACGGAUAAAAGCUCCCCUGGGGAUAACAGGCUUAUCUCCCCCAAGAGUCCACAUCGACGGGGAGGUUUGGCCCCUCGAUGUCGGCUCAUCACAUCCUGGGGCUGUAGUAGGUCCCAAGGGUUGGGCUGUUCGCCCAUUAAAGUGGUACGCGAGCUGGGUUCAGAACGUCG